rnacentral:pre_miRNA from 1 species
UUCCCACUACUCAAAAAAUGGGCAAAGUAGUCAUUUAGAUCAAAUAGCAAAUUCAUCUUUUCUAUUAAAAAUUUCAUCCUUUUCGCUGUUAAAAACUUAUCUUUGUAAGUCAGCCUCAGAUACACAUGUAUUUGAUUAUCUGUCAGUUACGCCAGUUUUUAACAGUAAAAAUGGAUGAAAUUUUUAACAGAAAAUACCAUCUUGCUUUUUGAUCUAACAUAUAAAGACUAUUUUACUCAUUUUUUGAAUAGAGAGAAA